rnacentral:tmRNA from 1 species
GGGGGUGAUUUGGGUUCGACGUGAGUCGACGAGACUUUACGCUGCAUGUCCCGGGUGUGGCUGGCCGGGUUAUCAAGCCACUAAAAGUAAUCGCAAACCAAGACGAUUACACAUCUCAAGUACUAGCCGCUUAAGCUAGUACGGCUGAAACGGGAGUUGCCCGUGCUUUCGAUUCAGCUCACUUAGCGGGCUAGGUGCGAUGCGAUGUCUAGGCGUCUCAAUCCGAAACUCUUACUAGACUGGCUAUGAGUUUCCUGUCCGAGGGGUAGGCCCAUAGCGAGAUUGAAGCUCGGACUAUGCAUGUAGACGCGUCUAGAACCGGGCUUACGGACGGGGGUUCGACUCCCCCCACCUCCACCA